CACGUAGGCACCAAGCGUUGUCCGGAUUUAUUGGGCGUAAAGAGCUCGUAGGCGGUUCAGUAAGUCGGGUGUGAAAACUCUGGGCUCAACCCAGAGACGCCACCCGAUACUGCUGUGACUUGAGUACGGUAGGGGAGUGGGGAAUUCCUGGUGUAGCGGUGAAAUGCGCAGAUAUCAGGAGGAACACCGGUGGCGAAGGCGGAUCUCUGGGCCAUUACUGACGCUGAGGAGCGAAAGCGUGGGGAGCGAACAGG
rnacentral:rRNA from 1 species